rnacentral:rRNA from 1 species
UACGGGGGGGGCAAGCGUUGUUCGGAAUUACUGGGCGUAAAGGGCUCGUAGGCGGCCAACUAAGUCAGACGUGAAAUCCCCAGGCUUAACCUGGGAACUGCGUCUGAUACUGGAUGGCUUGAAUUCGGGAGAGGGAUGCAGAAUUCCAGGUGUAGCGGUGAAAUGCGUAGAUAUCUGGAGGAAUACCGGUGGCGAAGGCGGCAUCCUGGACCGGCAUUGACGCUGAGGAGCGAAAGCCAGGGGAGCGAACAGG